rnacentral:rRNA from 1 species
GUCGAGAAUCUUUCACAAUGGGGGCAACCCUGAUGGAGCGACGCCGCGUGGAGGAUAAGGUCUUCGGAUUGUAAACUCCUGUCAUGCGUGAACAAGGUUGCUUGGUUAAUACCUGGGCAAAUUGAUGGUAACGCAAGAGGAAGAGACGGCUAACUCUGUGCCAGCAGCCGCGGUAAUACAGAGGUCUCAAGCGUUGUUCGGAAUCACUGGGCGUAAAGGGUGCGUAGGUGGCGUGGUAAGUCAGAUGUGAAAGCCCGGGGCUCAACCUCGGAACUGCAUCCGAUACUGCCAUGCUAGAGUACUGGGGAGGUGACUAGAAUUCUCGGUGUAGCAGUGAAAUGCGUAGAUAUCGAGAGGAAUACCAAAGGCGUAGGCAGGUCACUGGACAGUUACUGACACUGAGGCACGAAGGCCAGGGGAGCGAACGGGAUUAGAAACCCCAGUAGUCC